GGCCAGUGUGAGCGUUUUAAUCGGACUCUGCAUGAUCUGUUGAGAACCCUGCCCCCUGAGCAAAAGCGUCAUUGGCCCAUGUAUUUACAGCAGCUCACCUUUUCUUACAAUACCACAAUCCAUCAAACUACGGGUGAGUCACCCUAUUUUCUUAUGUUUGGCCAAGAGCCCCAGCUCCCAGUUGACUUCCUGUUAGGCAGAGUGGAGGAACCCACCCACGGCCCGGUACACACUUGGGUCCAAGAGCAUCAGAAACGUCUAGAUGUAGCUUAUAAAGGUGUGAGUAACCGCACCAAAGCAGCAGCGACGCUGCGUGCAGAUCGUCAACCUGCCCCAGCUUCUGACCCCUUGCCAUUGCAUCAGUUAGUGUAUUUGAGAGAUCAUAGCAUUCGGGGACGGAAUAAAAUCCAAGAUUUUUGGGGCGUUACACCGUAUUGUAUUGUCCGUGCCCCUGCUGAUGCUGGUCCUGUGUAUACAGUGGCCCCACUCAAUGAUCCAGAACAGAAAAGACAGGUUAAUAGACAAUUUAUCAAGCCGAUCCCUGCUGAUAUCUGUGAGAAAAUAAGGGCAGAGCUCCAGCAAACUGCUAACCCUAGAAGUUCACCUGACCGGUUACCCCCGUCUGAGAAUGAGGGAGACUUUUAUGUGUGGCAACGAAGGGAGUCCCCAAGAGGUGACCCCCAAAGUGUACAAACUGAUUCUGCACCUUGUCCCCAACAACUCCCAGAGGACCGGGCUAUAGUAAUGAGGCCGCAGUCCAGAAGGACUAAUCCUGGUACCCUGACUCCACAGUGUAGUGUCCCCACUCCAUUAGCUGAAAGUGGUACAGUUAGAAGAAUGACACGCUCAACAGCUGGCCACCAUUCCAAUCCACACCAUCUGCCCCAAUCAGCUGAAGCCAGGCCACCUAGUGUACAUUCAGUUACAGCUUUUUAUAGACCGUGGCUUUAAGGUUUCAUUGUCGGGUCGCCAAUGCAAAAACCAGGGGGGAGAAUGUGACAGGUGAGACCUGGAGAUUUGGGACCGCCCCUGGUGGGCGGAGCGGGUCCUCGCUCCUUUCAUAAGCGCAGGUGUGGGCAAUUGGGUAUUCCUUUGCAAACCUGAAGCUGCGAGUGCUUGGUCCGAGUUGGGCAAGUUGGUGUUUCUUAACUAUGAAAGUCUGAUACGCGUCCUUCCCCUAAACUUCUGUUAGAACGGUGGGAAACAUUGCUCCCGUGAGAACGGUAUAGUGGACUUCAUCGCCACUGACCCACAUUUAUUAGGGUGUGACACGAACUUGUGGACAGAGUACCGAGCUGCUGCUUUGCCAGGUGGAUUUCUGGCUGCGGGCAAAGGACCCGACACAUCAGUGUGUUUUAAUUUGUUUUAAACUGGUGUAAGCCGACAGACUGACUGCUGCGGCUGUCGAUGGUUUUGGUUUUUGGUUUUACUUUUUCUGUAUCAGUAGGCACCACAGAUAUUGAUCCUUUGAGUAUUUUAACCCC
ensembl:lncRNA